UCGUUAUCAUUAAGUGUGUGUAAGCAAGAUCUGGAAACCGGUGUGGGUAUACCUAGGAAAAGGGCAUCGGUUUCAUUUGUCAUUAGGAAUCUGGAAAGUGUCAAAUGUAGUUGACACAUGGUUGUCCUAGUUAAUUAAUGUAAUAAACAAGAUGAAUUUAUUUAGGAAUGUAUUGUAGUAUGUCUAAAGUUGUUAUAUACUGUAUUUUCUUAGCUUCCUAUCUCCAAUGUACUUGAGUGCCAAAUAAGUAUCAUUUAGGGUGAAAGCGUAUGUAAUGUAGCUUGCACGUAUCCCCUGGCGCGUGGAUUUCUUGCCGGCGUCGACUUCCUCCGUCCAUCUGCUCGCCACCGAUUCGACUCCCGGCCCGCCGUUCCUGGGAUCUCGAUCCCCGUUCCGGCCGUUCAUCGACGCCCUAGUCCCAUCCCGUUGCCCGGGUGUGGCCGUCGUGCCCCCUCCGGCUCCCCUCUCUCGCGCUGAUAGGCGCCGCACGCUGGCGGCGGCCCUGCCAUCCUAGGAAGUACCUGCAACCCUAGGCCCCGCCAUUCCCGGGGUAGCUCGGAUGGGCUUCGGCGCUCCCUAACGGGCCAUAGAACUGCUCCGGGCCCGCACCGGCCACCCUCUAGCUGGGCCGUGUCUCGCGCCCCUAGCCUAUCAUAUGGGCCCUCGGUGUCCUCCGCAUCGGCAUUGGAGGGGCCCAAUUGGUCCACCACUCACCUGAGGAUCGGGAGCAUCUGGCUGCCUAAGGGUUUCCCACUCCCUCGAUUCGGCUCAACCGCCUCCGCUUCCACCCCUCUUGCAAUCCCUCCCAUCCGCAUGACCGCGUCCUCAUCCGGCCCUCGCGCCACUGGCCCGCCUCCCCCCGUCGCCCGCCCCGGCCAUGCCUCGGGAAUGGGACGACGACGGUGGCCGGCCCAAGCACAGCCUCAAUGCCCGCCGAGACAAUCGAGUCCCCUCUCCGACGGUGCAACGGCGCGAGGACGAGCUGCGUAGGCAGCUCCAGGGGUCCCGCCCGGGGUAUUCCGGCCACUCAGGUCGGGAGUCUCGCCGGUCCUAUGCGUGCUGACCGCCGCUCACUGGUUCACUCCGACAGACGGUCCCCUACUCAGGAGGAUUGUCGUGACUGGCCCCGUUCCCCGACUGAUUGCCGCUCGCUGUAGUGUCGUUCUUCGUCGCCUCAACACCGACACGAGCGCAGCCCCUCCCUGACCAGGUGCUCUCCGGCUCCUACCAACCGACAACGACACCCCUCGGCAUCCCCAGAAUGGCGAUACCAGCCACCAAGGAACCAGCCCCAAUUCCUCCCUACCAAUGGGGGCAACACCAACCGCGGCCGGCCGGGUACAAAGAAGAAGAAGAAGGGGAACACGCGCGCGGCCGGGGCCCUGCAUGCUCAACCCCCCGUGGCCGUGGUCUCCUCCAUUGCUUCGGCCGGUGACCCCUCUAGUGAAGCUGCUUUGUGCUUCAAUUGUGGGCUUACCGGUCACUUCCAAGUCUCCUGCCCCAACCGGUCGCGAUGCUACUUAUGCAAGGACCCUGGACACCCCACGCUUCUUUGCCCCGACCGGCUGGUGUCCGAGGAGUUGAUGAUGUAUGGUCAUGGCAUCGAGGGCAUGUGCUUCUUCCACAUCGAGGUUCCGGACAUCCCACCUUCGAACCCUUCACUCUGGGUGAUUGUGACAGUCUUAGGGGCAGGGCGCCGCCUCCCCCGAGAUGAUCGAGGCUGAGCUCAACCACCUAUGUCGCUGUCAGUGGGACUGGCAGGUGGCACCUACAUCGGGCUCGGUGUUCAGCGUGAUCUUCCCCGACUCGACUAGCCUUGGCCUAUGCACCCGUAGCGAUGAGAUCGCCCUGGCCCUCAACAAACUGGUGGUGGACAUCUUGGAGCCGGUCCUCGACGCCAAAGCGGUUGCCGUCCUUGACAUGACAUGGAUCCUCAUCACCGGGCUCCCGGACAUUGCAAGGUACGAGCGGGUUAUUCACAACAUGUCCCGCAUCCUUGGCAAGGUGAUCGUGGUGGAUGAGCUCUCGCUUCGCAAGGAGGAGGGGGGCGAGUAGAGAUGCUCUAAGUAAGAAUUUCUUACUCAACAUGUGUAGCACUCACACAAUCAGACUGCCUUUUUUCUUUGAGAAACACAACAGAGGCGCAGAGGCUUACAUGCAUUCACAUACAUUCACCCUUAUGAAGGCACACACCGACACCCUUCCCCUAUGAGCACCUUGAAGAGACUUAGCCGGCGGGUCUUGACAUUGACGAAGUCACCACAUGCACCUUGCUAUAGACAGGAAUUUUGCCUCCCACAAAGAAUAUUCUGUAUUUAUGAGACACAAGUGUCAAACUUGGGGUUUUAUCCAUGGUGGGCUAGGGUACAACCACCUUCCUAACCAUCCAACCACAGGUUUGAAUCAAGGCACAAGUUCAACUCCAGAGCAAGUUACUCGGUGAUGCCAUUUAAAGAUUUCAUUGUACUAAUGCAGAUGCCUGAUUUAUAGAAGGCGUAACUUCUCCAUCUAGCAGGUGGUAUAUUCUGAAUUCUCCAAAAAAAGUGUUAAAAUCAUCCUCAAGUAUCAAAUUGACUCAGGUUUUCCUAGUGUCAAAACUGAAGACUGAUGAACUCCAUUGGCCAUUGCUAGUUUUUUUUUUUUGAUUGCAAAUGAUAAUUUGUCAUUGAGCUGCUAAAUUUCGCCACCAGAGUAACACUUUUGUCGCUGCCAAUGCUUGUCUUGUCUGCACAGGUUGUGCCAUUAGAGGAGCCCAUUGACGUGAGAUGCCUUAGGCUAGAAACUGCAUGCAGCUCCGAUAGGCAACAGCUCGAGGAUUCAAAAGCAAGAUGCACAACUCUCGAGAAGGAGCUUGAGCUGCUCAAGGAGGAAAACUCAUCCUUGCGACAAGAGCUCUCCAAGUCGAAGCACGACACAGAUCAUGAGAAAGAGGGGCUGCUUAAGGAGCUGGAGACCGAGAAGUACAAGAUGGAGGAGCUCAAGCAGGAUAUCAGGCUCUUUCGCCAGGCCUUCUCACAGAGGCAGGGUCAUCUGACGUCCCUGUACACCAAAUCCAAGGCCAUCGUGGAGAACUGCAAGGCCUCCCGGGUGGCAUUGCCCUAAUGAGAGCCUCAGCUGCUUUGGAAGUUUUUCCAUUUCUGCAACACUGCUUUACUGUAGAUUUCGUGGUGCCUGUAAUACAAGUGUGCGUGUCGUGUGUGUGCAGUGUGCUUGGUUUUCUAAUUCAGUCGUUAUCAUUAAGUGUGUGUAAGCAAGAUCUGGAAACCGGUGUGGGUAUACCUAGGAAAAGGGCAUCGGUUUUAUUUGUCAUUAGGAAUCUGAAAAGUGUCAAGUGUAGUUGACACAUGGUUGUCCUAGUUAAUUAAUGUAAUAAACAAGAUGAAUUUAUUUACGAAUGUAUUGUAGUAUGUCUAAAGUUGUUAUAUACUGUAUUUUCUUAGCUUCCUAUCUCUAAUGUACUUGAGUGCCAAAUAAGUAUCAUUUAAGGUGAAAGCG
rnacentral:lncRNA from 1 species